rnacentral:lncRNA from 1 species
UUAUCGUAGCUAGGAUAAUCCAUUAAAAAGAAAAGGGAAAACUUUAAAAAACCUCUCUGUGGAUUCACACUUUUUCAUUUUAGUACCCUGUGAUUUAAAAUGUAUCAAGUUGGUACCAUGUUGUUUCGCACUUUCUCAUUUUAAUACCCUAUGGUUUAAAGUGUAUCAAGUUAGUACUCUAUAAUUUUAUUUUUGUAUCAAAUUAGUACCAUGUGGUUUUAUUUUUUUAUCAAGUUAGUACCCUGUGGUUUUAUUUUUCUCUUAACGAAAUAUUAAACCACAUGGUACUAAAGUGAGAAAGUGCGAAACCAUAGGGUACUAACUUGAUACACUUUAAACCACAGGGUAUUAAAGUGAGAAAGUGCAAAAUCACAGGGUACUAACUUGAUACACUUUAAAUUAACCAUAAGGUACUAAAGUGAGAAAGAGUGAAACCAAAAGGGAGGUAUUUGAAGUUUUCCCAAAAGGAACUUGAAGUUCUCGGUAGAAUGUAGGGUAAAAAAGAGAGUAAUUAAGAUCCUUUAUUCCUAUCUUGUUCACGAACCAAAUAGAGCCUCAGACCCCGUUUGGAUUGCGUACAAGAGGGGAGAUAAGAGCCUUAUCCCUCCAAUUGUACCCAGACAAAAAUUUUUGGGUGGGAACUAUUAGCAAGUUAUCCGGGGAUAACCCGCUUUGGGUGGAAACUAGUAGUUCCCACCAAGCUUGUUCCCACCCACCCCUGUUGGUAGAGAGAGAGAGAGAGAGAGAGAGAGUUUUGUUUUAAAAUAAAUUUUAAAUUUUAAAAUUUUAAAAUUUGUAAACUAAAAAUUAAAAAUUAAAAUUUAAAAUUUAAAAUUUAAAUUAUAAAUUUAAAAUUUGAUAUUUUAAAUUUUUAAAUUUUAAAUUUGAUAUUUUAUAUCAUUCAAAUUUAAAUUUGGUCUUAAAUUUAAAUUUUAAAUUUUUAAAAUUUUAAAUUUGAAGAUUUAAAUUUUAAAUUUUAGUUUCAAAUUUUAAAAUUUAAAAGUUAAAAAUUUAAAUUUAAAAUUAUAAAUGUAAAAAUUAAAAUUUUAAAUUUAAAUAUAAUAAGAGUGGUAAUAUAAUUAUUUUCUAUUUAUAGCUAUCCAUUCUUUUUCUUAUUAUAUUUUAUCUAUUCAAACACUAUUUUUCUUAUUUUCGGAAACAAUCUAAUUUUCAUCCAAAUACAAAGUUGGUCUAGUUCUCGCUUAUAUCUGAACUUUUACCUAUCGCUGAAAUUAGCAGUUCUUAUUUAUACCCGAACCAAACGAAGCUGAGAAUCCUUUAAGCUCACUAGUUCUUGAAAUAUUAUCCAUGUACUCUUUAGUUCUUGUAGUUUUCUUUUUUCUUUUUUUUAUGCGGGGGUGUGAGAAACUCGCAAUUGCAUAUCAUUUGCCCCUCUAUGUAUUUGAUAAUUUUUUUUAACUAUAUACAAAUUUCCCACAUAAUUUAUUUGAGUGAUGUUUCUGUGCUAUUUUGGUAUCCUAGCCUUUCAAUCUAUCCCAUCCAGUGGCAUCAAGAAUGUCACAAUAUGGGUACACUAAAUUUCAAACGCUGGUAAUGAGAAAAGGUGCUUGCCAAUGUUGCCUCAAAGCAUAUACUUAAAACUAUUUGUCGGCUUGUCGGUGAAGGGGCUUUUUUUAAUAGUUAAACCAAAUUGUUAGCCUUCAAGUGCUUGUGCAUAAAGGUUCUAUUACAUUGCUAGUGCAGUUAUGACUAUCUAUAGAUUUUCUGAAUGUUAACUGAGCGAAUGGAUUAGGAGAAACUUCAUUAGUAUCAUGGAGACAAACUGGGUAUUCCUAUGGUAAUUAAUGAAAGAAAAGGGUGUUUCUCAGUUUAAUAGGAGAGCCCAUAUAUGCUGAUUGAAAGAACAAAGAGGAUCUGGUUUGAAACCAAUUAAGCAAUUUAGUUCGUGUCAAAUAAGAAAAUGGAAAUAGAUGUCAAUCAAAGAAGAUUUUAAUAAAUAUGGACAGGUUGGUGUCGAAAAUUACUACUUAAAAAGUACAAUAGGCUUCUUUAUAGAAAGCCCAGGAGCUUAAGUGCAAGAAGAUAAAACUGCUGAACCCUGCUUCGAAGCUUGCCGAUCCUUCUACUUCCGCUGCCCCACCUGAAGCAUCCAACGCUUCGGACCUUCCUCAGGUCCAUCCUCCUGACUCUGGGCUGAGUCUCGAACCUCACCAAUCCUCUGCAGGGAAGGAUUCGCUGAUGACCGAUAAGGCCGGAUUGAAGCCUGCAGCCACUCUGGAUAGAGACCCCGUACUCCCCCUUACUCCGGAUGAGAUCCAACUAAUCAAGACUGUUUGUGGCAUUUCCGACAAAGAUGCUGAUAUCGUGCCUACCUGCGAGACACCUGCGGCCACCAUGACAAGGGUGUAGCACUCUUUUGCGUAAAUUCUUGGGUGAUCUUCUUGUACCUAUGGCCAGGAAUAGAACCUUUCGCUUUCUCACGUGGAAUGUACGGGGCCUAAGUGACAAUUCUAAAUGCACUGUUGUCAAAUCCUUUAUUCAAUAUUGUAGAUGCUGUGUGGUAUGCUUCCAAGAAACUAAACUUCCUUCUAUCUCUUCUGCCAAGUUUCGUUCCUUCGGGGGUUUUCAUCUGCGAGACUUUCGAUCUCUAAAUGCUGAAGGGACUAGAGGCGGCCUCUUAACUGCGUGGAAUCCGUCUCUCUUUGACUGCGUACAUGAGUGGUCGGGCAAAUUUUCUCUCACCGUAUUGCUAAAGAGGAAAGUGGAUGGAAAACUUUUCACGAUCUCGAAUGUUUAUGGUCCUACGGCGGCUAAUCUGAAACUGAAUUUCUUUCUCAAGCUACGUUCCAUCAAUGCAUCGUCUACAGGCUCAUGGGUGGUGCUUGGCGACUUUAACGUCCUCCUCUCACUUCAGGACAAGAACGGCCCGAUUGCAAACAUCAAUGACAUUUUGAACUUCAGGGAGGUCAUCCAUGAGAUUGGGUUGGUCGUCCUCCCUAUCGUCAACAAAUCCUUUACUUGGUCUAAUGGUAGGGGUGUCCCGACUCUCGAGCGCCUGGAUCGUGUUUUCAUCUCCAAUGCUCGGGUUCUUGCUUUUCCCCGAUCUACCCUCCGCGCUCUCCCUCGACCACGUUCCGAUCACACGCCCCUGGUACUCUCGGCUUAUACCUUUAUCCCUUCAAUUAAUCUGUUCAGAUUCGAGAUUUUUUGGUUGCACCACCCUGCUGUCCUUGAUGUAGUCGCCUCGGCGUGGAAGUCUCUCUUGCCUGAUGCCGAUCCCGUUAAGCAUUUCUCGCAGAAUUUUGAAUCGGUCCAAUCAGCCCUAUGCCUAUGGGAGCGCAGGUCUUUCUUCUACUUCUAGAGAACAAGGAAAACAAGGAAAACGUUGCUUACUCUGGAUCGAAUGGUUGGACAAGGCUGAAGAACGCAGACAUCUAACGGCAGCAGAGUACACUUUGAGACCUAAACUUAAGGCCAAAUUUGAAGACAUUUGUCUGCAGGAGAAAAUUAAGUGGAAGCAGCGGUCAAGAGUCCAAUGGCUAAAGGUGGGAGAUGCCAAUACCAAAUUCUUUCACCUAAAGGCCAAUGCUCGCAGAAGCAAGAACUUUAUUUCACGUCUUUCAAAUGGAUCAGCCAUUCUCUCUUCGCCUGAGCUGAUUGCUGACCACCUCUUUUCUUUCUUCCGCAACCAGCUGGGAGUUCAACAACUUUCCUCUGUCAAUAUAAAUCUGCAAGCGAUCUAUGAAGUCCUCGGGACCGAAUGGAUUACCAAUGGUCUUCUACCAGCGCUUCUGGAACCUCAUUAAAGAUGACAUCAGGGGAAUUUUCAAUAGCUUCUACGAUGGUGCAACAAAUCUCGACAGGGUCAACACUGGGUGGUUAUGCCUUAUUCCUAAGAAGAAAGAAGCUUCAUCCGCCAACGACUUCCGCCCUAUAAGCCUGGUACAUAGUGUGGCCAAAUUGAUUUCGAAGGUUCUAGCUUCGCGGCUACAAACCUUCUUGGAUCGACUGAUAAACCCUCAUCAAGCUGCCUUCAUCAGGGGUCGACAUAUUACCGAUAAUUUCAAUUGUGCCCAUAUACUGAUUCAUCACCUACACACUACCAAGCACCGAGCAGCCUUAUUGAAAAUCGACUUCGAGCGGGCCUUUGACCGAGUAAACUUGAGCUUCCUGCUUGACCUUAUCCAGGCGAGGGGCUUCAGCCGGCGCUGGAUCACUUGGAUUCACUCUCUACUUCAAACAGCUAGCACGUCAGUGAUUCUAAAUGGCAAUCCGGGAAGAAGCUUCUCCUGUAAGCGUGGGCUAAGACAAGGUGACCCGCUCUCUCCCCUUCUCUUUAUCCUACGUGUAGAUGUUCUUUUCAGACUAUUCCAGAUUGCUACCACGGCACGCCUACUGCCGGACCUUGGGAUCAGAAAUGCUCGGCUACACACUCUACAAUUUGCGGACGACCUGAUUAUCUUCUUCGAUAGUUCCACAAGAUCGGCGGCAACUAUAAAGCUUAUUCUUGACGAUUUUGCGGGGUGCUCGGGCCUCACAAUCAACUACAACAAAAGCUCUGUCACCUCAAUUAACUUAUCUGCCACUCAAGCCUCGUCCCUAGCAAACUCCCUUAGCUGUGCAAUGAAGGAUUUUCCACUAACCUACUUAGGAUUACCCCUCUCACCUAAGAGGUUACGAAUAGCUGACUAUAUGCCGCUCAUCGAGAAGAUGGGUAAUUGCCUGGCGGGUUGGAAGAGACAAACACUCUCAAGAGGGGGGCGACGUAUUCUACUUAAUUCGGUACUUUCGAGCAUCCCUGCUUACUUCUGUUCAAUGUUUAGGCUACCAACCUGGGUGAUUAAUUCUAUAGACAAAAUUCGCCACUAUUUCUUUUGGAGGGGUCAAUUGCUACAUAAUGGCUUCCACAGCUUAGUUAAGUGGGAAUAUGUGUGUCAACCAAAAAAAUGGGGAGGAUUGGGUAUCUGAAACCUACGUGUCAUGAACUCGGCUCUACUAAUGAAAGUACUUUGGAAUUUUCACAACUCCCACGACCUCCCAUAGGUUAAACUACUAAUGCGGAAACAUUACAAGCAUCGGCACCCUACUACCGAAUGCAAAUCCACUCCUAGGUGCUGCCCGAUUUGGAAAGGGAUUCUCGACACCGCCCCGCCUUUUCAUGUAUCCACUUCUGUCUCGCUGGGCAAUGGGAAGGCAACGUCCUUUUGGCAUGCGAGGUGGUCCGGUGAGCUUACCUUGACAAACCAGUUCCCAAACCUAUAUGCCAUUUCGAGACACACCAACCUGUCUGUUGCUAAAUGGCUCCAGUGCUUCGCCCAGAGCAACACCCUCGGUUUCGGACCAGACUUGUGUCUUCAAGUGCAACAGGAGGAGCUGCUGUGACUCAAAACUCUGAUCCAGAACACAUCGCUCUCAAAUGAGAACGACUCUAUCUCUUGGCGAUGGAACGAUGAUGGAAAGUUUCAGGUACGUCGUGCAUACGACUUGCUUACUUUUGAUGGUAUAAAUAUGAAUUGUACCCCUUGCCUUUGGAGGCUCAAGAUUCCACUAAGAGUGAAAAUAUUUAUGUGGCUCGCUGCGAGAAAUAAAAUCUUGACAGCUGAUACUCUGGCGAAAAGGGGUUGGCAUGGUCUAUCGAUUUGCAUCCUUUGCUCACGGAGUGGAGAGAAUCUACAGUACAUCUUCUUCUCCUGCACAUACGUGGCGACAGUAUGGAACCAUCUACCACAAGAAUGUCCGACGACUCGACAUGCUUUGCUAACACUACCAGGAGACCUACCUACUCGAUGGAAUCGUGCUCGCACCACAGCGAGGGUGCGGCCCAGGAGAAGGUUCGAUAUCUUACUCAUAACAACAUGCUGGGAAUUGUGGAAGGAAUGAAACAGACGUAUUUUCGACGCCCAACUAUCUACAAGCGAGGAAAUAGGAAGAAGAGUGAUAAACACUGUUACUCUAUGGCAUUUUGCUCUAGGGACGUGAUGGGUGAAGGAUUGUAGUUUCUUCCCUUCUUCCCAGUCGUUCAGUUUUCUUUCCUCCUUUUGAGUGUGUUGUGCUAUUCUUUGUUUCAAUCAAGCUAUACCCAACCGGGCAUAUGUCGCAACUGUAAACUCCCCUAGCUUUACUUCAAUCACAAAUAGGGUAUAUCCCUAUUUACUCAAAAAAAAAAGUACAAUAGGACUAAUAGCACUCUUUUUUUCUAACCUAAAGUGUGUUAAAUUUUGUAUUUCCGCCCGACUCCAAUUACCAUUUGCUACGAAUUUCAAAUUUGAGCUUGAUAAGAUUCAACUUUUUAGUAUUUAAAGUUUCUUCAAGAACUUUGAAGUUU